rnacentral:sRNA from 1 species
GCCAGGUGUGGUGGUGCAUGCUUGUAAUCCCAGUGGCUCAGAAGGCUGAGGCAGGAGGAUCACAAGUUUGAGGCCAGCCUCAGCAACUUAGUGAGACCCUGUCUUAA